rnacentral:rRNA from 1 species
AACGAACGCUGGCGGCAGGCUUAACACAUGCAAGUCGAACGCCCCGCAAGGGGAGUGGCAGCCGGGUGAGUAACGCGGGGGAACAUACCCUUUUCUACGGAAUAGCUCUGGGAAACUGGAAUUAAUACCGUAUACGCCCUACGGGGGAAAGAUUUAUCGGGGAAGGAUUGGCCCGCGUUGGAUUAGCUAGUUGGUGGGGUAAAGGCCUACCAAGGCGACGAUCCAUAGCUGGUCUGAGAGGAUGAUCAGCCACAUUGGGACUGAGACACGGCCCAAACUCCUACGGGAGGCAGCAGUGGGGAAUAUUGGACAAUGGGCGCAAGCCUGAUCCAGCCAUGCCGCGUGAGUGAUGAAGGCCUUAGGGUUGUAAAGCUCUUUCACCGAUGAAGAUAAUGACGGUAGUCGGAGAAGAAGCCCCGGCUAACUUCGUG